AGGACCGUGGGCAUUUGUACUGAGCUGUGACAUCUCUAACCCGUGACAUUGGGGUCCAGCAAGUACCAAAGAGCAGGUGAGGACCGUGGGCAUUUGUACUGAGCUGUGACAUCUCUGACCCGUGACAUUGGGGUCCAUCCUGAGCAGGGCACGUGCGGAAGCUGUGCUGCAGGGAGGGCAGAGCUGAGGGGAAGGGCUGUGCGAGGGGCUGGUGCCAAGGCAAGGUGGGCGCGCUGUGGGGUGUGGGGAGGUGUCAGCCCCGGACUCAGCCCCUGUCUGACUGUAGUGCCCUUGGGCUGCUGUAGCUCAGUCCUCCGUGUGUUUCUCUUCAGGGGAGCAGCGUGCAAAGGAAAAGCAAGGAAGGAGGUGAACCUGUGAGGAAGAGUGAUGGAUAAAGGGGGUUGGAGCGCACCUGCCAGUCAAGAGGGAUCAAGAGAGAAGACACCGGUGGUGGAACCACAGGUCAGGAGAGCUCAGGUUCAGAGCCCGAGCCUCAUUUGGUUGUAUCUGUAAACAUCAAACAUCUCAGCACGAAUCACAACUGCAUUUCUCACGACAGAAGUGCCUGAACUGCACAGCUUGCCUGGCAGUGCAGAGAGCAGCAAGUGUGGAGUAUUGCGCUGUGAGCCUGGAAACCUCUCUGCUCUGUGCUUGACUCCAGGCCAUGGCAUUGGCAGAGCUGAUCGAGCUUCUCAGCUGGAUCCUGGUUCUGAGCCUUGGGCUGUCCCAGAGGUGACUGAGGAAGAAGGAGAUCACAACAUGCCAAGGAAGCUCCUCACCCGUGUUGGACUCCCUGUUUGGUUCCUGCAGUCCAUGGUGAUCAAGCCUCUUGGUGUAAUCCUGUUCCUGAGCCUGGGGGCAAUCCCAGG